UGAGCAUUGAGGACAGCCGACGAGAGAUUCCCGAGUACGUCCACAGUCAGCCUUGAGGUAAGCUUGUGCGCUCGGAGGAAUCCAGGGUAACAAUGGGGCAAACUGAAAGUAAAUAUGCUUCUUAUCUCAGCUUCAUUAAAAUUCUCUUAAGAAGAGGGGGAGUUAAAGCUUCUACAGAAAAUCUAGUUACGCUAUUUCAAGCAAUAGAACAAUUCCGCCCAUGGUUUCCAGAACAGGGAAUUUUAGAUUUAAAUGAUGGGGAAAAAAUUGGCAAAGAACUACAACAAGCAACUAGGGAAGGUAAGAUCAUCCCACUUACAGCAUGGAAUGAUUGGGCCAUUAUUAAAGCAAUUUUAGAACAAUUUCAAAUAGAAGAAGAUGGCGUUUCAGUCUUUGAUGCCCCUGAAAGCUGUGUAAUAGAUUGUGAAGAAGAGGCAGGAACAGACUUUAAGAAAGGAAUGGAAAGUACACAUUGUAAAAAUGCAGUAGAGCCUGUAAUGGUUCGGUCAAUGCAAAAUGUUGACUAUAAUCAAUUACAGGAGGUAAUGUAUCCUGAAUCAUCAAAAUUGGGAGAAGGAGUUCCAGAAUUAUUUGGGCCAUCAGAGUUUAGACCAAGAUGGCCACCAACCCCUUCUCCCGCGGUUCAGAUGCCUGUGAUGUCACAAUCUCAAAUGCCAAUCCAGGCACAGUAUCCGCAAUACCAGCCAGUAGAAAAUAAACCCAACCAUCGGUAGUUUAUCAACACCAGCCGCCAGCCGAAUUUCAGUAUCGGCCGUCUCCAGAGGUUCAGUAUGGAUCUCAGGAGGUGCGUCCUGUGCCAAAUAGCAAGGCACUAUAUCAACAACCCACGGCGAUGGCGUUUGAUCUUACAGUACCACCUAGUGGACAAGAUAGUGCACUGCAUGAGACCAUUGCUACAGCCAGAAAACAGGGAGAUCUUGAGGCAUGGCAAUAUCUGGUAAUGUUACAACCGAUGCCGGCCGGGAAAGGGAGUCAAGCAGGAGCGUCUGUCUGAACUGAGACCAGAUAUGAAUCUUUCACCACAAAAAUGUUAAAAGAUAUGAAGGAAGGAGUUAAACAAUAUGGACCUAACUCUCCUUAUAUGAGAACAUUAUUAGAUUCCAUUGCUCAUGGAAAUAGACUUAUUCCUUAUAAUUGGGAAAUUUUGGCUAAAUCUUCCCUUUCACCCUCUCAGUAUCUACAGUUUAAAACCUGGUGGAUUGAUGGGGUACAUGAACAGGUAUGAAAAAAUCAGGCUACUAAUCCUGUUGCUUAUAUAGAUGCAGACCAAUUACCAGGAACAGGUCCAAAUUGGGGCACUAUUAACCAACAAUCAGUAAUGCAAAAUGAGGCUACUGAACAACUAAGGGCUAUUUGCCUCAGGGCCUGGGAAAAGAUUCAGGACCCAGGAACCUCCUGCUCUGCUUUUAGUUCAAUCAGAUAAGGCUCUAAAGAUCCAUAUCCAGACUUUGUGGCAAGGUUGCAAGAUGCAGCUCAAAAAUCCAUUGCAGAUAAUAACGCCCGAAAAGUUACUGUAGAAAUAAUAGCUUAUCAAAAUGAAAAUCCAGAAUGUCAAUCGGCCAUAAAGCCAUUAAGAGGAAAGGUUUCAGCAGGAGUUGAUGUAAUUACAGAAUAUGUGAAGGCUUGUGAUGGGAUUGGAGGAGCUAUGCGUAAGGCAAUGUUAUUGGCUCAAGCAAUUACAGGGGUUGCUUUAGGAGGACAAGUUAAAACAUUUGGGGAAAAAUGUUAUAAUUGUGGUCAAAUCGGACAUCUAAAAAAGAAUUGCCUAGGCUUAAAUAAACAGAGCAAAAAAAAAAAAAAAAAAAGAGCCACCUGGCCUGUGUCCAAGAUGUGGAAAAGGAAAAUAUUGGGCUAAGGAAUGUCUUUCUAAAUUUGAUGAAAUUGGACAGCCAUUGUCGGGAAAUGGGAAGAGGGGCCAGCCCCAGGCCCCGCAACAAAGUGGGGCAUUCCCGAUUCAGCCAUUUGUUCCUCAGGGUUUUCAGGGACAACAACCCCCACAGUAAAUACCACCAUUUCAGGAAAUCAGCCAAUUACAACAAUACAACAACUAUCCCCUGCCACAGCAGGCAGCGCUGCAGUAGAUUUAUGUUCUGCUCAAAUGAUUUCUUUACUCCCUGGAGAGCCCCCGCAAAAGAUUCCUACAGGGGUAUAUGGCCCACUGCCAGAAGGGAUGGUAGGCCUUAUUUUAGGAAGAUCUAGUCUAAAUUUGAAAGGAGUUCAAAUUUAUACUGGGGUAAUUGACUCAGAUUAUAAAGGGGAAAUUCAGUUAGUGAUCAGCUCUACUGUUCCCUGGAGUGCCAAUCCAGGUGAUAGAAUUGCUCAAUUACUGCUCUUGCCUUAUAUUAAAAUUGGGGAUAACAAAACAGAAAGAACAGGAGGGUUUGGAAGUACCAACCCUGCUGGAAAAGCUGUUUAUUGGGCUAGUCAGCUCUCAGAGAAUAGACCUGUGUGUACAGUUACUAUUCAGGGAAAACAGUUUGAAGGAUUAGUGGAUACUGGGGCUGAUGUUUCUCUCAUUGCCUUAAAUCAAUGACCAAAAAAUCAGCCUAAACAAAAGCCUGUUACAGGACUUGUUGGUGUGGGCACUGCCUCAGAAGUGUAUCAAAGUGCCAGGAUUUUACAUCGUCUAGGACCUGAUAAUCAAGAGAGUACAGUUCAGCCUAUGAUUACUUCUAUUCCAAUUAAUUUAUGGGGCCAAGACUUAUUAGAACAGUGGCAUGCAGAGAUUACCAUUCCAGUCUCUCUAUACAGCCCCACGAGUCAAAAAAUCAUGACUAAAAUGGGAUAUCUCCCUGGCAAAGGACUAGGCAAAAAUGGAGAAGGCAUUAAAGUUCCAAUUGAGGCUAAGGGAAAUCCAGAAAGAAAAGGACUAAGGUAUCCUUCUUAAGGGUGGCCACUGUAGAGCCUCCAAAACCCAUUCCAUCAACUUGGAAAACAGAAAAGCCUAUAAAGGUAAAUCAGUGGCCACUACCAAAACAAAAGCUGGAAGCCUUACACUUACUGGCAAAAGAACAAUUGGAAAAGGGACAUAUUGAGCCUUCAUUUUCGCCUUGGAAUUCUCCUGUGUUUGUAAUUCAGAAAAAAACAGGCAGAUGACACAUGCUAACUGAUUUAAGAGCCGCUAAUGCAGUAAUUCAACCCAUGGGGCCUCUCCAACUUGGGCUGCCCUCUCCAGCCAUGAUCCCCAAAUAUUGGCCUUUAAUUAUAACUGAUCUGAAGGAUUGCUUUUUUACCAUUCCUCUGGCAAAACAGGAUUUUGAAAAAUUUGCUUUUACUAUACCAGCCAGAAAUAAUAAAGAACCAGCCACCAGAUUUCAUUGGAAAGUGUUGCCUCAGGGAAUGCUUAAUAGUCCAACUGUGUGUCAGACUUUUGUAGUUCAAGUUCUUCAACCAGUUAGAGACAAGUUUUCAGACUGUUAUAUCAUUCAUUAUGUUGAUGAUAUUUUGUGUGCUGCAGAAAUAAGAGACAAAUUAAUUGACGGUUACACAUUUCUGCAGACAGAGGUUGCAAAUGCAGGCCUGACAAUAGCAUCUGAUAAGAUUCAGACCUCCACUCGUUUUCAUUAUUUGGGAAUGCAGGUAGAGGAGAGAAAAAUUAAACCACAAAAAGUAGAAGUAAGAAAAGACACAUUAAGAACAUUAAAUGACUUUCAAAAAUUGCUAGGAGAUAUUAAUUGGAUUUGGCCAACUCUAGGCAUCCGUACUUAUGCCAUGUCAACUUUGUUCUCUAUCUUGAGAGGGGAUCCAGACUUAAAUAGUAAAAGAACAUUAACUCCAGGGGCAACUAAAGAAAUAGAAUUAGUUUAAGAAAAAAUUCAGUCAGCACAAGUAAAUAGAUCACUUAGCCCCACUCCAACUUUUAAUUUUUGCUACUGCACAUUCUCCAACAGGCAUUAUUGUUCAAAAUACAGAUCUAGUGGAGUUGUCAUUCCUUCCUCACAGUACGGUUAAGACUUUUACAUUGUACUUAGAUCAAAUGGGUACAUUAAUUGGUCAGGCAAGACUACGAAUAGUAAAAUUGUGUGGAAAUGACCCAGAUAAAAUCAUUGUUCCUUUAAAUAAGGAACAGGUUAGAGAAGCCUUUAUCAAUUCUGGCGCACGGAAGAUUAGUAUUGCUGAUUUUGUGGGAAUUAUUGACAAUCAUUACCCAAAAGCAAAAAUCUUCCAGUUUUUGAAAUUGACUACUUGGAUUUUACCUAAAAUUACCAGACAAAAACCUCCAGGAAAUGCUCUGACGGUGUUUACUGAUGGUUCCAGCAAUGGAAAAGCAGCUUACACUGGGCCAAAAGAACGAGUCACUGAAACUCAAUAUCACUCAGCUCAAAGAGCAGAAUUGGUUGCUGUCAUUUCAGUGUUACAAGAUUUUAAUCAGCCUAUUAACAUUGUUUCAGAUUCUGCAUAUGUAGUACAGGCUACAAAGGAUGUUGAGACAGCCCUAAUCAAAUAUAGUGUGGAUGAUCAGUUAAAUCAGCUGUUUAAAUUGUUACAACAAACUGUUAGAAAAAGAAGUUUCCCAUUUUAUAUUACUCAUAUUCGAGCACAUACUAAUGUACCAGGGACUUUAACUAAGGCAAAUGAACAAGCUGACUUGCUAGUAUCAUCUGCCUUCAUGGAAGCACAAGAACUUCAGGCCCUGACUCAUGUAAAUGCAACAGGAUUAAAAAACAAAUUUGAUAUCACAUGGAAACAAGCAAAAAAUAUUGUACAACAUUGUGCUCAGUGUCAAGUCUUACACCUGCCCACUCAAGAGGCAGGAGUUAAUCCUAGAGGUUUAUGUCCUGACGCAUUAUGGCAAAUGGACAUCACACAUGUACCUUCAUUUGGAAAACUGUCAUUUGUCCAUGUGACAGUUGAUACUUAUUCACAUUUCAUAUGGGCAACCUGCCAGACAGGAGAAAGUACUUCCCAUGUUAAAAGACAUUUAUUAUCUUGUUUUGCAGUCAUGGGAGUUCCAGAAAAAAUUAAAACAGAUAAUAGGCCAGGAUACUGUAGUAAAGCAUUUCGAAAAUUCUUAAAUCAGUGGAAAAUUACACAUACAACAGGAAUCCUUUGUAAUUCCCAAGGACGGGCCAUAAUUGAAAGAACUAAUAGAACACUCAAAGCUCAAUUGGUUAAACAAAAAAAGGAAAAAGACAGUAAGGAGUAUAACACUCCCCAGAUGCAACUUAAUCUAGCACGAUAUACUUUAAAUGUUUUAAAUAUAUAUAGAAAUCAGACCACUACUUCUGCAGAAUAACAUUUUACUGGUAAAAAGAACAGCCCACAUGAGGGAAAACUGAUUUGGUGGAAAGACAACAAAAACAAAACUUGGGAAAUAGGUAAGGUGAUGACAUGGGGGAGAGGUUUUGCUUGUGUUUCGCCAGGAGAAAAUCAGCUUCCUGUUUGGGUACCCACUAGACAUGUGAAGUUCUACAAUGAACCCAUCAGAGAUGCAAGGGAAGGCACCUCCGCAGAGACAGAGAACCCGCAAUCGAACAUCAUUGACUCGCAGGGUGAACAAAAUGGUGAUAUCAGAAGAACAGAUGAAGUUGCCAUCCACCAAGAAAGCGGGGCCGCCGACCUGGGCCCAGCUAAAGAAGCUGACACAGUUAGCUGAAAAAAGCCUGGAAAACACAAGGGUAACACAAACUCCAGAGAAUAAGCUGCUUGCAGCUUUAAUGAUUGUAUCAACGGUGGUAAGUCUCCCUAUGUCUGCAGGAGCUGCUACAGCUAACUAUACUUACUGGGCCUAUGUGCCUUUCCCACCCUUAAUUCGGGCAGUCACUUGGAUAGAUAAUCCUAUUGAAGUAUAUGUUAAUAACAGUGCAUGGGUACCAGGACCCACAGAUGACCGUGGCCCUGCCCAACCUGAAGAAGAAGGAAUGAUGAUAAACAUUUCCAUUGGGUAUCAUUAUCCUUCUAUUUGCCUGGGAAAAACACCAGGAUGCUUAAUGCCUACAAUCCAAAAUUGGUUGGUAGAAGAACCUACUGUCAGUGCCACCAGUAAAUUUACUUAUCAUAUGAUAAGUGGAAUGUCACUUGGGUCACAAAUGAAUAAUUUACAGAAUUCUUCCUAUCAAAGAUCAUUAAAAUUUAGGCCUAAAUGGAAACCAUGCCAGAAGGAAAUUCCAGAAGAAUCAAAAGACCCAGAAGUCUUAGUUUGGGAAGAAUGUGUGGCUGAUACUGCAGUGGUACUACAAAACAAUAAAUUCAGAAUUAUUAUAGACUGGGCCCCUCGAGGCCAAUUAUAUUAUGACUGUAUGGGCCAGACCCACUCAUGUUCACAGGCUCCAUCUGUCUGGCCCACUAAUCUGGCCUACGAUGGUGACUUAACUAAAAGGCUAGACCAGGUUUAUAGAAGGCUAGAAUCACCCUAUCCAUGGAAAUGGGGUGAAAAGGGGAUUCCAUCACCCCGACCAAAGUUAGUUAGUCCUGUUGUUGGUCCUGAACACCCAGAAUUAUGAAAGCUCACUGUGGCCUCGUACCACAUUAGAAUUUGGUCUGGAAAUCAAGUUAUGGGAACAAGAAAUCAUAAGCCAUAUUAUACUAUUAACCUAAAUUCCAAUCUGACAAUUCCUUUGCAAAGUUGUGUAAAACCCCCUUAUAUGUUAGUUGUAGGAAACAUAGCUAUUAAACCAGAUUCCCAAACUAUAAGCUGUGAAAAUUGUAGAUUGUUUACUUGCAUUGAUUCAACUUUUGACUGACAGCAUGGUAUUCUGUUAGUAAGGGCAAGAGAAGGCGUGUGGAUCCCUGUGUCCAUGGGUCGACGGUGGGAGGCUUCUCCAUCCGUACAUAUCUUAACAGAAGUAGUAAAAGGAGUUCUAACUAGAUCUAAAAGAUUCAUUUUUACUCUGAUUGCAGUGAUUAUGGGUCUUAUUGCAGUCACAGCUACUGCUGCGGCUGCUGGAAUUGCUUUACACUCCUCUGUUCAAACUGCAGAAUAUGUGAAUAAUUGGCAAAAGAAUUCCUCAAAAUUGUGGAAUUCUCAGACUCAAAUAGAUCAAAAAUUGGCAAAUCAAAUUAAUGAUCUUAGACAAACUGUUAUUUGGAUAAGAGAUAGGCUCAUGAGCUUGGAAUAUCUUUUUCAGUUACAGUGUGACUGGAAUACGUCAGAUUUUUGUAUUAGACCUCGAGCCUAUAAUGAAUCUGAACAUCACUGGGACAUGGUUAGAUGCCAUCUACAAGGAAGAGAAGAUAAUCUUACCUUAGAUAUUUCUAAAUUGAAAGAACAAAUUUUUGAAACAUCAAAAGCCCAGUUAAAUCUGGUGCCAGAAACUGAGGCAAUGGUAAAAGCUGUUGACAGCCUCACAAAUCUUAACCCUAUCACUUGGGUUAAAACCAUUGGAAAUUCCACUAUUGCAAAUUUUGUAUUAAUUCUUGUAUGUCUGUCCUCUCUAUUGUUAGUCUACAGAGGUAUAUCCAGCAGCUCCGGAGAGACAGCGACCAGCGAGAAUGGGCCAUGAUGACGAUGGCGGUUUUGUCAAAAAGAAAAGGGGGAAAUGCAGGGAAAAGAAAGAGAGAUCAGACUGUCACAGUGUCUAUGUAGAAAAGGAAGACAUAAGAGUCUCCAUUUUGAAAAAGACGUGUACUUUAAACAAUUGCUUUGCUUAGAUAUUGUUAAUUUGUAGCCUUGCCCCAGCCACUUUGCUCCAGCCACUUUGACCCAACUUGAAACUCACAAAAACAUGUGUUGUAUAAAAUCAAGGUUUAAGGGAUCUAGGGCUGUGCAGGAAGUGCCUUGUUAACAAAAUGUUUACAAGCAGUAUACUUGGUAAAAGUCAUCGCCAUUCUCUAGUCUCAACAAACCAAGGGCACAAUGUACUGUGGAAAGCCAGAGGGACCUCUGCCCUUGAGAGCAGGGUAUUGUCCAAGGUUUCUCCCCAUGUGAUAGUCUGAAAUAUGGCCUCAUGGGAUGAGAAAGACCUGACUGUCCCCCAGCCCGAUACCUUAAAGGGUCUGUGCUGAGGUGGAUUAGUAAAAGAGGAAAGCCUCUUGCAGUUGAGAUGGAGGAAGGCCACUGUCUCCUGCUUGCCCCUGGGAACUGAAUGUCUCGCUGUGAAGCCCGAUUGUACAUUUGUUCAACUCUGAGAUAGGAGAAAAGCUGCCCUGUGGCGGGAGGCGAGACAUGUUUGCAGCAAUGCUGCCAUGUUCUUUACUCCACUGAGAUGUUUGGGUGGAGAGAAGCAUGAAUCUGGCCUACAUGCACGUCCAGGCAUAGUACCUUCCCUUGAACUUAAUUAUGAUAUAGAUUCUUUUGCUCACAUAUUUCUUGUUGGUCUUCUCCUUAUUAUCACCCUGCUCUCCUACUACAUUUCUUUUUGCUGAAAUAAUGAAAAUCAUAAUCAAUAAAAACUGAGGGAACUCAGAGGCCGGUGCCAGUGCACGUCCUUUAUGUGCUGAGUGUCUGUCCCCUGGAACCACUGUUGUUUCUCUAUACUUUGACUCUGUGUCUUAUUUCUUUUCUCUGUCACUCAUCCCACCCGACUAGAAAUACCCACAGGGGUGGAGGGGCAGGCCACCCCUUCAAUUUGGUGACACAUAGCCUGUGCCCUCAAAGAACACUGACACCCCGGUAACAUCCAUUCAAAGAGUUUCUCUGUACCUCCCCUCCUUUAUCCCCAAGGUCACUGGGUCAGAGCUCACGGAGUCAUUCACAACAUGAUGUUUAACACCGAGACGCUCUGGAAUUACUCCUUCAAGACGACUCAGAAGAAGACCCAUUGCUGAGACAAUCAUGUUCUCUCUCUCUCUGGAUCACCACCCAGAGACAAGGACUGCCAGAGACCCUGGCUUCCACAGCUGCUGCCUCUCAUUCCUGCACCUGUGGGAUGAGAGUUCGAAGCUGUGUGACCUUGACCAAGUUACUUACCCUCUCUAAGCAUAUGUUUCCCUAAAUGUGAAAUAGGGAUGAUGGUGAUGUGUUUAUUUCACAGAUUUGAUAGAAGGAUUAAAUGAGAGAUGCAUCAAAAGCAGUAGGCACAGGGUCAAUGCUCAGUGAGCUUUCUCUUUUCUUAUCAAUAGACAGGUCUCCAUGAGGACAGAAACUGGCUUCAUCUCGACUGUAGCGUCAGGGUUGGCCACAGUGUCUGCACCCAGCAGGACUUCAGUAAAUAUCUGUUUAUACACUAACCACAGACUUAGGCAUAAAAGCCCUUUGGAAAAAAGUUGACCAUUUCAUGCACCUUCAGACUAUGAAGAGCAGUGAUGACAACUUUAGCUUGAGAGGCUCUCAGUGCCCAUUCAUCACCGCUGUGAAAAGGCAGAAACCAGAGCUGUGUGUUUAACUCCCAGGCCCAAAAUCUGUUGGCCUUGCUUUAUCACUAUGAACUUCCAAUGCCAUCCCUUUAGAAUGCGACCUCUCUCUUCUUCCCCAAGGCACUAGCCUUCACCCCAGACCUAUCCUUAUUAGCUGGUGCCUCCUCUCUGUACUCUGAGCCCAUGCUGUGCUCGUCAGAUAGCAACAUGGGAGAAUACAGCAGCCCAGAAUGCAGGCUGCAGAGUUAGAUCCCCAGAACAGGAUCUCAGCCGGUUCCAUCCUUCCUUAGCUGGGCGACCGUGGCCAUUGACUUGCUCUCUGUGCCUGAGUUGCUCCAUCUGUGAAAUGAUGAUUAUCAUAGUCCCUGCUUCAAAGAGUCACUGGGAGGAUUAACAGAAAAUGCAGGGAAGGUGCUUGGAAAUAAAUGCUCAAAAAAAGUCCAUGUGGCCAGGCACGGUGUCUCACACCUGUAAUCUCAGCACUUUGGGAGACUGAGGCAGGUGGAUCUGUUGAGGUCAGGAAUUCAAGACCAGCCUUGUCAACAUGGCAAAACCCCGACUCUACUAAAAACACAAAAAUUAGUCAGGCAUGGUGGCAGGCACCUGUAAUUCCAGCUACUUGGGAGGCUGAGGCAUGAGAAUCUCUUGAACCUGGGAGUCAGAGGUUGCAGUGAGCCGAGAUGGUGCCACUGCACUCCAGCAUGGGCAACAAGAGUGAAACUGUCUCAAAAAAAAAAAAAAAAAAAAGUCCAUCAUUCUUAUUAAUGGAGGCCAAAUCAUCUCAGCGCUUCUUUGGCUGAUCAGUACCCUCCAAGCCAGUGUUAUCCAAUAGACCAGAGGUCCCCAUCCCCCAGACCACAGACCAGUAGCGGUCUGUGGCCUGUUAGGAACUGGGCUGCACAGAAGGAGGUGAGCAGUGGACUAGUGAGUGAAGCUUCAUCUGUAUUUACAGCAGCUCCUCAUGGCUAGCGUUACUGCCUGAGCUCUGUCUCCUGUCAGAUCAGCAGUGGCAUUAGAUUCUGAUAGGAGCACCAACCCUAUUAUAAACUGCAUGUGGAAGUGAUCUAGGUUGUGUGCUCCUUAUGAGAAUCUAAUGCCUGAUGAUCUGUCACUGUUUCCCACCACCUAGAGAUGGAAUUAUCCAGUUGCAGGAAAACAAGUGCAGGGCUCCCACUGAUUCUACAUUGUGGUGAGUUGUAUAAGGAUUUCAUUAUAUAUUAUAAUGUUAAUAACAAUAGAAAUAAAGUACACAAUAAAUGUAAUGCACUUGAAUCAUCCUGAAAUUUCCCCCCACAAAUACAUGGAAACUGGUCCUUGGUGCUAAAAAAAAUUGGGGACCACUGCACUAGACUAUUCAGUCACGGUCCAAUCAAACAUUCUGCAAUGGCGGGCUUGCUCUACUCUGCACUGUCCAACAUGGGAGCUGCUAGCCACCCACAUGGGCUGUUGAGCCCUUGAAAUGUGGCUAGUGAGAAUGAAGAGCUGAAAUUUCAAUUUUCUCUUAACUAUUUUUUUUUUUUUUUUUUGAGACAGAGUCUCACUCUGUCCUCCAGGCUGGAGUGUAGUGGUGCAAUCUCAUCUCACUGCAACCUCCAUCUCCCGGGUUCAAGCAGUUCUCCUGCCUCAGCCUCCUGAGUAGCCAGGAUUACAGGAACGCGCCAUCAUGCCCGGCUAAUUUUUGUAUUUUUGUAGAGACGAGAUUUCACCAUGUUGGCCAGGCUGAUCUUGAACGCCUGACCUCAGGUGAUCUGCCCAACUUGGCCUCCCAAAAUGCUGGGAUUACAGGUGUGAGCCAACAUGCCCGGCCUUAAUUAAUUUCUAAAUCACAAAAUCUAAACAACAAGUGGCUAGGAGCUACCAUAGUGUACAAGGCAGCUGUGGAAUCACAGGAAAUUGUCAAUGACCCUGUCCUGCUUCAAGUUGACUUUUCCCCCUCAUGGUGAGACUCUAGAUUCUUUCCUCUUCUCUCACAUUUUUUAGACUUUUAGGAUUAGACCAUGAAAAUAAGUUCUGUCCUUCCAAGAAAAUAACGUCCAUAACAAUUUCUGUAUACCAGGAUGAUUUCAGUGCUUUACAUGUAUUAAUUUACAACUACUUUGAGGCAGGAGCUAUGAUUAUGCCCAUUUAACAGAUGACAAAACUGAGGCACAAAGCGGUGCUGGAACUUCUCAAAGUCACACAGGUAGCAGGAGGCAGAGCUCGGAUUUGAACUCACUAUGGGUUCAGCAACUCACAGCUCUCAUCUAUGACAUAAUAUUACUUCUGUGGUCAAAACGCUUAGAUCUGGAUUUCACAGGAAUCUUGUGCUUGCCUGGCUGCUAGGGAGGUUUUCAUCAUCUUCCUUAUCUCACAGUUCAAAACCCAGGGCCUCCAUGCUCUUGCUAUGGUGGCCGUUCACUGGCAGGAGGCUUCUGGGAAGGUUCUCCUUUUCUGUCAUUUUUCUUAUUCGUGGUUUUUUGUCUCAUUGGUGUUUAUCUGCAGAACUUUGUUUCCUUCUGCUCAAUUCAUAAUCAGAGUGCUUUUCCUCCUGGCUGAAUUCAUAAGUGUUUGUGCAAAAAGAGGUUGGCGCAGAGCCAGGUGACUGACGACACCCAGCUCAUCUGGCAAGUGGAUAUCAAAUUGUUGUAUCUCGUUCUGCCAUUCACAGCUCCGCCGUGGGGCUGGGUCAUCUGCCAGCUCUCCAAGGAGCUGGUGGGAAACCACUGAAAUCAGAGCGAACCCACGGCCCGGGUGAGCCCGCCUUGGCACAGCACUCCAGCUGACCCCCAGUGCCUUUUGGGAACAAAUCUGCAUUGCCAGGCAGGGCUGUGGGAGGGCCGCCUGCCUCCUGUCCAUCACAGAGAAAACCUACCCUUGUCCCGCGUCCCUUCUAGGCAGCCUGUGUGGGGAUUGCUGCAUUCACCUUUAAUAUGGCUAAAAUGUUUUCCUUCAAUGACAGUAAUGCUGCCAGAACCCAUCAAGACACCCAGGAACUGAUGUGCCUUGGCAGAUGAUGCUGGAAAGAUGGGAUUCCCGGCAGCCUUUGCAUCUGUUGCUCACAGCCCACGAGCAUCUCCACCGUCCAGCAGGGGAACAAAGCGGCAUCAUUCCAUUAUUCCAGGGGAGGUGCUAAAUACAAGGGUGAGGCUGUCAAGCGGUCCCUGGUGGAGUCCUACAUUCACCCAAACAGCAACGAGACAGAGCGGAGGGGAACAUCGAUACUGUCAUGAACUGGUUCACCUAGGAAGACUUUGACUUUGUGACUCUGUGCUACAGAGAGCCAGAUAACGUGGGACAUCGAUUUGGGCCAGAGGCAGAGAACAGGAAGUUGAUGAUUCAGCAAAUCGACAGGACCAUCGGGUAUCUGGUGGGAGCCACUGAGAAGCACAGCCUGCAGAGCACCUCAGCAUCAUCAUCACAUGAGACCAUGGGAUGACCACCGUGAAGAAGAGACCCAAUGUCAACAAGAUCCCUUGUCCAACUACAUCAAGUUCAGGAACUUGGUCAAGUUUGAUAUUGUGGGCUACGGUGGCUUUGGGAUGCCCCUACCCAAAUUGGGGCAAGAGGAAACCCUUUACCAGGCACUGAAGAAUGCAUACCCUCACCUCCACAUCUUCAAGAAGGAGGAGUUUCCAGAGCAUUUCCAUCUUGCUAAACAUGACCAGGUUCUGCCAAUCGUGAUGUAUGCCAACUCUGGUUACAGUAUCAAUGGGAGAAUUAUAAUGUGUUUCAACAAAGGCAGCCGUGGCUUUGAUAAUGUCCUCAUGGAUAUGAGACCAUAUUCAGAGCUUUCGGGCCAGAUUUCAAGAGGAAUCGCCUGGCCGAGCCUUUUAAUGGCAUCCACAUCUACCCAUUCAUGUGUAAGCUCCUGGGAGUCACCCCCAAACCCACAACAGCUCCCUGGCAGUCACCCAGGAAAUGCUCGUGAACUCCUAUGUCCAGCAGCCAGGCAGAGAGCUGAUCAAAACAGCAAAAGCAAAGCAGUGCCCCUGGCCCAGUUCUGAAGCCAACCUUCCUUAACCACGCAGACCCAUCCCUGGUUAGGACUUGCUGUGGAUUCUCAGGUGACUCCAUCUCAGGAUACAGGGACUGAGAGGGUAUAUGCAAUAUCUCAGACCCAGAAACCGUUGAUUCUGUCUAAAAGCACAGCAAUAACCACAUCCCACCCUCUUGAUUUAAAUGAAAGUGUUUGGGAGAAUAAAAGAUGAACCUUU